rnacentral:lncRNA from 1 species
GCAGAUGAACUAGUUGUGGGUGCAGAGCUGCGACCACAGCUAGCGCUGCCACCACCACCCAAGUAUCGGGACUACCAUGCAGAAGCUGAGGCCUACGAGAACAAACUUAUCCAGGUUGCUGAGAUGCAUGGCGAACUCUUUGAAUUCAGUGAACGACUGCAGAAGAUAAUUCGAGUUCGCGAAGCACAGAUCGCCUCGCUGCGGCGCGAGCUUGUCUCUCUCAGAGGCCCCUUACCGGACCACCCGUCUCUGGAGGCGCACCUACAGCGCC